rnacentral:rRNA from 1 species
UGGGUGCAAUCUAAACCCUUGCACGAGUAUCUAUGAGAGGGCAAGUCUGGUGCCAGCAGCCGCGGUAAUUCCAGCUCUCAGAAUGCAUAGAACCAUUGCUGCGGUUAAAAAGCUCGUAGUUGGAUUUGGGCGCGGGCCCCGGACCUCGCUUCGGCGUUGCUCUGGGUGUCCCGUGCUUCAUGCUGGUUGGUCCCUUGGCUUUAGGGUCUUGGGGCGGCUGGCGAGUUUACUUUGAACAAAUCAGAGUGCUCAAGACAGGCUCAACGCCUGAAUGCUCGUGCAUGGAAUAAUAGAAGAGGAUCUCGGUCCGAUUUUGUUGGUUUUGCGGCCGAGGUAAUGAUCAAUAGGGGCGGACGGGGGCAUUCGUACUUCUGCGUGAGAGGUGAAAUUUUUGGACCGCAGGAAGACGCACUACAGCGAAGGCAGUUGCCAAGCACGUCCCCGUUAAUCAUGAACGAAAGUCAGAGGAUCGAAGGCGAUUAGAUACCGCCCUAGUUCUGACCGUAAACGAUGCCAACUAGCGAUCGUCCGGUGGACUCACGUCCCCAGUGGGGAGCUUCCCGGAAACGAAAGUCUUCCGGUUCCGGGGGAAGUAUGGUUGCAAAGCUGAAACUUAAAGGAAUUGACGGAAGGGCACCACCAGGAGUGGAGCCUGCGGCUUAAUUUGACUCAACACGGGGAACCUCANCCGGGCACGACACCGUCGGGAUUGACAGANUGCAGGGCUUUCAUGAUUCGGUGAAUGGUGGUGCAUGGCCGUUCUUAGUUCGUGGAGUGAUUUGUCUCCUUUAUUCCGGUAACGAGCGAGACUCUAGCCUGCUAAAUA